UACGUAGGGUGCAAGCGUUGUCCGGAAUUAUUGGGCGUAAAGAGCUUGUAGGCGGUUUGUCGCGUCUGCUGUGAAAUUUCGGGGCUCAACCCCGAACUUGCAGUGGGUACGGGCAGACUAGAGUGUGGUAGGGGAGACUGGAAUUCCUGGUGUAGCGGUGAAAUGCGCAGAUAUCAGGAGGAACACCGAUGGCGAAGGCGGGUCUCUGGGCCGAUACUGACGUGAGACGCGAAAAGCGUGGGGGAGCGAACAGG
rnacentral:rRNA from 1 species